UCCAACUCCCUUUCAUUGUUUCAAUUUCACAGACACUAGCAGAAGAAACAAAGCGAAGCCAUGGCCAAAGAAGCUUUAGCAACACGAAACCCAGAUGGGGUUCACACCGACGUGCUCUCUGCUUCAAGACAAGCUUGCUAUAAGGCUCGAGACGCGUUCUAUGCUUGUUUGGAGAAAGAAUCAGAUAAGAAGCAGACUGAAAUUGGGUCCAAAGGUCUGUUAUACCCAGCACAGUGCAAACCCGCCAGGGAUCAGUUUGUCAAUAACUGCCGUGCUUCUUGGGUGAAGCAUUUUGAUGCGCUGCACUGCAAGAGCAGAAGUCUGAAGAGGCUUUUGGGAUGAUAAAGAAUCGAGGAGAGGGGUAUAAGGUGUUCGUUUGGCCCCUCUAGGCGGAAGGAAUCCUCCUGGCCAGUUACUGGCUGCAUGCUGAAUUCAUUAUUCAGUUGGAGCAAAUGAUGUAUAACAGAAUUAAGGCUUGCAGAGAUGUUACUGUCGUCUCCAGAUUUUGUUGGAGUAAGAAACUAAUUGGAAACAACGACAACUUUGAUUUGAUAAGAUAUGUUUCUUGUAUAAUUAAUGGAUGAAA